CCUACGGGAGGCAGCAGUGAGGAAUAUUGGUCAAUGGACGAAAGUCUGAACCAGCCAAGUAGCGUGAAGGAUGACUGCCCUAUGGGUGGUAAACUUCUUUUAUAAAGGAAUAAAACGAGGCACGUGUGCCUUUUUGCAUGUACUUUAUCAAUAAGGCACGGCUAACUCCGCGCCAGCAGCCGCGGUAAUACGGAGGAUCCGAGCGUUAUCCGGAUUUAUUGGGUUUAAAGGGAGCGUAGAUGGGUUGUUAAGUCAGUUGUGAAAGUUUGCGGCUCAACCGUAAAAUUGCAAUUGAUACUGGCAGUCUUGAGUACAGUUGAGGUAGGCGGAAUUCGUGGUGUAGCGGUGAAAUGCUUAGAUAUCACGAAGAACCCCGAUUGCGAAGGCAGCUUACUAAACUGUGACUGACAUUGAUGCGCGAAAGUGUGGGUAUCAAACAGGAUUAGAUACCCCAGUAGUC
rnacentral:rRNA from 1 species